rnacentral:rRNA from 1 species
UACGAAGGGGGCUAGCGUUGUUCGGAAUUACUGGGCGUAAAGCGCACGUAGGCGGUCUGUUAAGUCAGGGGUGAAAUCCUGGAGCUCAACUCCAGAACUGCCUUUGAUACUGAUGGUCUCGAGUCCGGAAGAGGUGAGUGGAGUUCCGAGUGUAGAGGUGAAAUUCGUAGAUAUUCGGAGGAACACCAGUGGCGAAGGCGGCUCACUGGUCCGGUACUGACGCUGAGGUGCGAAAGCGUGGGGAGCAAACAGG